rnacentral:ncRNA from 2 species
GGCUGGAUCACCUCCUUAGAGUUUGAUCCUGGCUCAGGCUGGAUCACCUCCUUAGAGUUUGAUCCUGGCUCAGAGCGAACGCUGGCGGCAGGCCUAACACAUGCAAGUCGAACGAACUCUUCGGAGUUAGUGGCGGACGGGUGAGUAACACGUGGGAACGUGCCUUUAGGUUCGGAAUAACUCAGGGAAACUUGUGCUAAUACCGAAUGUGCCCUUCGGGGGAAAGAUUUAUCGCCUUUAGAGCGGCCCGCGUCUGAUUAGCUAGUUGGUGAGGUAAAGGCUCACCAAGGCGACGAUCAGUAGCUGGUCUGAGAGGAUGAUCAGCCACAUUGGGACUGAGACACGGCCCAAACUCCUACGGGAGGCAGCAGUGGGGAAUCUUGCGCAAUGGGCGAAAGCCUGACGCAGCCAUGCCGCGUGAAUGAUGAAGGUCUUAGGAUUGUAAAAUUCUUUCAGUAGGGACGAUAAUGACGGACCACAGAAGA